rnacentral:tRNA from 1 species
GGCGCAGUUUGGUAGCGCACUUGACUGGGGGUCAAGGGGCCGCAGGUUCAAAUCCUGUC